UGGGGGAUAUUGCACAAUGGGCGAAAGCCUGAUGCAGCGACGCCGCGUGGGGGAUGAAGGCUUUCGGGUUGUAAACCCCUUUCGCUAUCGAACAAGGCCCGCUUAGGGUGGGUUGAGGGUAGGUGGAGAAGAAGCGCCGGCUAACUACGUGCCAGCAGCCGCGGUAAUACGUAGGGCGCGAGCGUUGUCCGGAAUUAUUGGGCGUAAAGGGCUUGUAGGCGGCUUGUUGCGCCUGCUGUGAAAACGCGGGGCUUAACUUCGCGCGUGCAGUGGGUACGGGCAGGCUUGAGUGUGGUAGGGGUGACUGGAAUUCUAGGUGUAGCGGUGGAAUGCGCAGAUAUCUGGAGGAACACCGAUGGCGAAGGCAGGUCACUGGGCCAUUACUGACGCUGAGGAGCGAAAGCAUGGGUAGCGAACAGG
rnacentral:rRNA from 1 species